UGGGGAAUAUUGGGCAAUGGGCGAAAGCCUGACCCAGCAACGCCGCGUGAAGGAAGAAGGUUUUCGGAUUGUAAACUUCUGUCCUCAGGGAAGAAACAAAUGACGGUACCUGAGGAGGAAGCCCCGGCUAACUACGUGCCAGCAGCCGCGGUAAUACGUAGGGGGCAAUCGUUGUCCGGAAUGACUGGGCGUAAAGGGCGCGUAGACGGUUGUCUAAGUCUGGAGUGAAAGUCCUGCUUUUAAGGUGGGAAUUGCUUUGGAGACUGGAUGACUUGAGUGCGGAAGAGGUAAGUGGAAUUCCCAGUGUAGCGGUGAAAUGCGUAGAGAUUGGGAAGAACACCAGUGGCGAAGGCGACUUACUGGGCCGUAACUGACGUUGAUGCGCGAAAGCGUGGGGAGCGAACA
rnacentral:rRNA from 1 species